CCUACGAUGUGCUGCAGUGGGGAAUAUUGGGCAAUGGGCGCAAGCCUGCCCCAGCAACGCCGCGUGAAGGACGAAGGCUUUCGGGUUGUAAACUUCUUUUCUCAGGGACGAAGCAAGUGACGGUACCUGAGGAAUAAGCCACGGCUAACUACGUGCCAGCAGCCGCGGUAAUACGUAGGUGGCAAGCGUUAUCCGGAUUUACUGGGUUGAAAGGGCGUGUAGGCGGGACUGCAAGGCAGAUGUGAAAACCACGGGCUCAACCUGUGGCCUGCAUUUGAAACUGUAGUUGUUGAGUACUGGAGAGGCAGACGGAAUUACCAGUGUAGCGGUGAAAUGCGUAGAUAUUAGGAGGAACACCAGUGGCGAAGGCGGUCUGCUGGACAGCAACUGACGCUGAGGCGCGAAAGCGUGGGGAGCAAACAGGAUUAGAUACCCGGGUAGUC
rnacentral:rRNA from 1 species